AAUGUUUAAAUUAGGGCUGGGUGCUGGUGUUGUAUGAGGGCAUGUGAGCCACGUAGGCUAGCUGAUAUGUUGCUGGCACCAUGCGAGGACACCUUAGCUGCAUGUCAAACAUGUCAGGAACACCUUGCCCCAUAUUCAAGUAUUUAUAGGGCAUGGUCCAGUAAAGAAUACUCCUUGCCCAUCGAGCUCUAACCAAUAACCACUGCAAGGGUGAAGUUGUUCUGGUGUUCCAGCCAGUGUUAGUCCUCUCCCUUACUGUAGAGUUAAGUUGUUCCUGAGCUGAGUGUCAACCUCCUGUGUGGUGACCAGGGUCAUCCAAGUGCCCACCUCGCCGCGGUCAAGCAAUCACAAGCGAUUCCCCAGCUGUACAGUGCAAGUUUCGUGUUCUCCUUAGAACACCUAGACGAGGUGGUAUUUAAAGAAGUCUACUCCAAUGCCUGCUCCUCAAGUGGAUGAAGCCAUCUAACUGGGUAUUGGAUAGAGGGAUCUAGAACCACUUCAUUGCAACAAAGGCAAGCCCCGGUGCAUGCAACCACUUCUUUGUGUUUUUAAAUAAUUUUUGCACACUUUAAGUCUAGUGAAAUGUGCAUUAGGUUUAUAGGAGUUGCUUGGAAACCCUUUGAUGCAUUGCCUACCUUGAUAUCCAUACCUUUAUAGAUACUUCUGAUGAAGUAUCAAAAUAUGGUUUACAAAAUUGCUUAGCCUUGCUUAGAGGUAAAUCUUGUGGAUAGAGGUUGUCCUUUGCGUUAAUGCCUAGGUCAGGGGUUAUCCUGAGGAAGGAUGGCUUCUGCCUGCAAGAAUAUUUUCAUUAGGAGCAAUGGUGGGAUCUUACUGUAAAGUUCCCUGUGAUGCUCUUUUCAUCCUUAGGAACACAAACAAUCCUAAGGGUGGAAGUACUUAAAUCGGGACUUGGGCUAGGAACAGGUGAUGUUCCGUCCGGGUCAAUUAAGGAUUGGAUGCGUAUGUAGGCCUGUUGAUCAAGGACUAUCUUAACUAGCCACAUGCCCUGGAAAUGGGACAGGGUAAGCUUGAACCCGGCUAUUCCAUACGUGAAAAGACAACCGCGCACUGGGCGUGGGAGAUGGUGGGAGUAGCGUGUACCCUUCUGGCUAGAGGUUGGAUGGAGGAGUACUGUGCUCCCGGGUAGCGCGGACCGGUUCACGUUGUGGAGGAUCUGUGGGAACGGUUGACAUAUGCAAGGGUUAAGUGCUACAUAUGUUGUGUGGUUAGAGAUCCUCAGCUGAGUAAAUCGAUUCGGAUCGCCGUUAUAUCCCCGGAGAGUGGAGACUUGAUCUCCGACCUGCAACCUAAGUCAGGAUGUGAACCUCAUGAAUAAAAAUGAUGUUGUAUUGAUGAGAUGGUGAAAUUAGACUAGAUGCAAACAGAGUCUAUUAAUAUUUAAUCUAGCGUUAAAAUAUUGAAAGUAAGGACUCACUUUAGUAAGCUAUUUCUGCGAAAGUAUCUAAGUUGAUUCUUGCUAAAGCCUCUCCUUGAUUCCCAAAUCCAGCAUAUCCUUGAGAGUCUUUUCUUUAGUCGGGUAAGUCUUGCUGAGUAAUUCCAUACUCAGGGUUUUAUUCCCUGUUGUUUUUCAGGAUAUAACUUUGUGCUGCUGUGAUGGUGUUAAGUGCCGGUGGGCUCGGCCUUCUUAUAUAAGUAUACCCAGUCUUUAUCUUCUUACUGAGGAUGGUCAUUUGAGCUAGCAUAUAUUUCAAACUUAUACUCUUGUAAUCACUCCGAUAAAAUAUUGUAAAAUUUUUGUAACCUGUAAAAUUUGGUAAUAAGAUUUCGGCUGCUAAAAUAUUGUGUGUGU